AGAAACAGCCACAAAAAUGAUCAGACUUGAAGUUAUGAUUGCUUUUCUCAUUCUGUCAGAUAACUGGACAGGUAGUGAUGGUCAAACACUGACCGAAUCUGAAUCAGUGGUUAAAAGGCCUGGAGAAUCACACAGACUGACCUGCACAUAUUCUGGGUUUGAUCAGCAUUACUGGAACGCUUGGGUCAGACAGGCAGCUGGAAAAGGACUGGAGUGGGUUGCUACUAUUAGCUGGGAUAGUAAAAUCAUCUACCACUCUCAGUCAAUGAACAACCGCUUCACCAUCUCCAGAGAGAACAGCAAAUAUCAGGUGUAUCUGCAGAUGAACCAUUUGGCUGCUGAGGAUUCUGCUGUAUAUUACUGCGCUCGACAGUCACAGUGA